rnacentral:rRNA from 1 species
AGCAGCCGCGGUAAUUCCAGCUCCAAUAGCGUAUAUUAAAGUUGUUGCAGUUAAAAAGCUCGUAGUUGAAUUUCGGGGUUAGUAGGUUGGUCAUGCCUCUGGUAUGUACUGGUCUCACUGAUUCCUCCUUCCUGAUGAACCUUAAUGCCAUUAAUUUGGUGUUUUGGGGAAUUUGGACUGUUACUUUGAAAAAAUUAGAGUGUUUAAAGCAAGCUAACGCUUGAAUACAUUAGCAUGGAAUAAUGAAAUAGGACGUUCGAUCCUAUUUUGUUGGUUUCUAGGAUUGACGUAAUGAUUAAUAGGGAUAGUUGGGGGCAUUAGUAUUCAAUUGUCAGAGGUGAAAUUCUUGGAUUUAUUGAAGACUAACUACUGCGAAAGCAUUUGCCGAGGAUGUUUUCAUUAAUCAAGAACGAAAGUUAGGGAUCGAAGACGAUCAGAUACCGUGUACGUCUUAACCAUAAACUAUGCCGACUAGGGAUCGGAUGAUGUUAAUUUUUAAGUGUAACUUCAUUCGGCGUCC